rnacentral:tRNA from 3 species
GCGGGGGUGCCCGAGCUGGUCAAAGGGGGCGGACUUAAGAUCCGCUGGCGUAGGCCUGCGUGGGUUCAAGUCCCACCCCCCGCA